UCUGCUCCUCUACCUCCACCUGUCGGCCCGUGAUCUACUGGUGCCACGAGUGCGACAUGAGCGUUACCCUCCUCCCCUCCCACCCACCUCUCAUCUGCCCCGAUUGCUCCCGCUCCGACUUCCUCGAAGAAAUGGAACUACUCCAACCCCCCACCGACCAUCAGUCGUCCUCCUCUGCCGCCGCCGACGUCGCUCCCCCUCCCCAAUCCCUGCCCCUCGUCCUCACCGAUUCCGAUGACGAUGACAACGACGGAGGCUUCGCUUACGACUCCGACCAACGCCGCAGCCUUCCCUCUAACCCGAGCUAUCGCCUCCGCCGCCGUAUCGACCCGCUUUUCCUGGAACCCGCCCCCCGGCUCGGCCCCUCCUCCGCUCCUGCCGCCUCCAUCGACGCCCUACCCAUAGUCUGCAUCUCGGACGAUGCCUCCCUCCCCGCUUGUGCCAUCUGCAAGGACGAUUUCC
rnacentral:lncRNA from 1 species